GCCCAUCGCUGGCACACAAACACACGUGCACGCGCGCACCGAUUUUGUUCUCGCUUCAGCAGGCACCGCGCCCCUCUCUCUCUUCGUAUUUCUUAAGUCUUCUGUAAACCUCUAACGGGCCAAUAUCACUUCCAUCGCGACGGCAUCGCUGAAAAGCACACACAGACACUGUGGAAGAUCUCCACACACGGCAAGGUCUCGUCGCUCGCCUCCCUCCCCCCUCUGAGUGUGUCACGAAGAGCGCAGUUGGUCGUGCCGGUAGUCAGCUGGCCUCACUCUGAUUAACAACUAAACUUGCAUCCCUUCCCACCUCUAACUAAGCCCUUUUCACAGCGAGAAAGAGCGAGCGUAAGCUGCUGUUUGGCGCGCCUUUAAUCGCUACCCUUCACACGCCUCUCAAACAAACACACACACACACACACGCAGAGAGAGAGAGACCCUUCCCUGCGUUCUUGGCGCCCAUCUCACAUCCGUUCUGCAUCCCCCCUCCCCCGCUAUACGCUGUCGACCAGAGUGACGAUGCGUACGUCCGACGCGCUCCUGCAGCAAAUCGGCGCGACCUUUGCGGUGCACUACCACACCACACUCGUGAAAGCCCCGGAGACGUUGGCGGCCCUCUACACCCCCUCGGCGCAUGUUGUGCACCGCUUCGAAAAGGCGAACGGCGCCGCCGAGCUAUCCUCGCUGCUCACGUCCCUCACCGCUGAGGGCCUGACGGGAGUGAGGCUCGAGGACGUCAUGGCCGUGCCGACCACCUCCGGCGCAAUCAAGGUCACGAUGAAGGGCCAGUUCGUCAGCGCCGACAACACUCAGUCCUUCACUCAGGAGGUGGAGCUGAGUGAGCUGGAGAAGAAUACGUACGGCAUCAAGAGCGAUAAGCUGAGCUACUCGGCUGUUGGGCAGACGGCGUGGGCGGCCGAGACGCCGGUGCUGAAGGCGGCCGCGGAGCCGGCAGUGGUCCCUGCUGCUGCUGCUGCUGCUGCUGCAGGGGAGACGCCGGCUGCGGGCUCUGCGGCCCCUGCCAAGAGCGCCGAUGUUUGUGAGACGGCAGCGCCCGCGCCUGCCGCUGACGCCACCGCCAACCCACCGGCGGACCAGGCGGCAGCGCGGGCCCCGGCGGCCAACAAGAAGCCGGCAAGCUUUGCAGAGGCGCUGCGCCUCAACAAAGCGAGUGAGGGCGCCCCCUUUUCCAACACGGCGGUGCGUGUGACGGACAAGGUGAAGGGCGCUGGGGAGAAGGGCACUGGCAAAGGUGCGAAGAAGGACAAGGCCGCCUCGCCCUCAGCGGCGUCUGCCAAGCCAAAACCGACCAAGAAAGCGCACAGCACGCCCGACUCGGUGAUCUACUACGAUAUCAUCCUGAAGGAGCUGCCGGCGUCGACGACGGAGGAGAAAGUGCGCGCUGUAGUGACGCCGGUAGCCGCUGUGAAACUUGUGAACAUCGUCAAGAGCGAGAAGCGUCGCCGCAGCAAGGAGGCCGCGUCGGAGACGAUUACGUUUGCCUUUGUGCAGCUGGAGCGCCCCGUUGACGCCGCUGCCACCUACGUGAAGAACGUCGUCGCGAAGCUGACGGAGAUGAACAAGGAGAUGCGCAUAGAGGAGGUGCGUGAGAAGCCGGCCUCUGCUGGGGCUCGAAGGACGCGGGAGGGCGCUGCGGCGUUGCGGAAGAAGGAGGUGAAGGCAUGAGUACCUGCUGCACGACAAGAGAAUGCCUCUGUGCCAGGGUGUGUGAUGCGCGGAUGUGUUGUAUGAAGGGCCCGGGCCUUUCUUGCCGUUUCGCCGUCGCACCUCCUUUUGUUUUUCUUUUGUGUGUUUCCUGCCUCUCUCUCCGCCAUUCGUGGGCCCACGUGGGUGGUGUUGAUGGUGUUGACGGCGGAGGCUGUGCAUUAAUGCCUUCUCGCUCUUGUUUUCUUUUUUUUUGCCUUUUAUUUUUCACUAACGGUGCGUGUACGCUUGUGCUUCGUGCUUCCGCUUCUUCGUUUCUUGACACCCGUCCCCCUCUUGCCCCUGGCUCAGCGUUGCGCGUGUGGCCGUCUGCGCGCCCCCUCUCUGGCUCUUAUAAGGUCUUGCGCGGUGAUGUGUGCAUGUGUGCCCCACCCCGUGUUGUGGCGGUUUUGUGUGCGGCAUGGCGCGACGUUACUUGUUGUUGCUCUUCCGUGUCUCUUCAUAUGGCGUGGCCUUCCCUUCCCUGUGAUGCAAUGAACGAAAGGGACCAAGGAAAGGGCGAGCGCAACGCCGAGAAAAGAUGGCCGGUCGUUUGGUUUCGCGUGUGCGCGCAUGCGUGUGCCGGCGUGUACGUGUGCACGUGCACUUGUGUGUGUGUGUGUGAUGUGCGCAAGGCAAGGACAGAGAACAGAAAAAAAAUGGGGUGGUGCGGCGGCGAUCAUCGAAUAACGUAAGGAGAGCAGCGUAAAAGCAUCCAGCAAGUGUUAAUAUAUGAGUAACCACAAAGCAGCGAAGAAAAAAGCGUUCACGUGAUAAAACGAAAAACCAACCAGAGGAGGACGUGGAGGAGGCGUCUGCACGGUCGUGCGCAUGUGCGUUAUUGGGUGUAUGGGAUGCGCGUGCGAGGGAAUGAAUCGACCUGUCGAUGCAGAACGGUGAUGCGCCAUCGCUAUUCUUAUUUUUUUUUUUCAGCGCCUCUCCAUUCUUGUCCCUCUCCCUCACACCGUGUUCGUCUUUCGCGGACUGUUUCUCUCGUGCACCCGCUCCACCUUUUGCUAGCGCUGUGCAGAUGGUCUUGACGUCUUUUUCAUUCCGAGUGC
rnacentral:misc_RNA from 1 species